AUUGAACGCUGGCGGCAUGCCUUACACAUGCAAGUCGAACGGCAGCGGGAGAGAAGCUUGCUUUUCCUGCCGGCGAGUGGCGAACGGGUGAGUAAUACAUCGGAACGUGCCCUGUAGUGGGGGAUAACUAGUCGAAAGAUUAGCUAAUACCGCAUACGACCUGAGGGUGAAAGUGGGGGACCGCAAGGCCUCAUGCUAUAGGAGCGGCCGAUGUCUGAUUAGCUAGUUGGUGGGGUAAGGGCCUACCAAGGCGACGAUCAGUAGCUGGGCUGAGAGGACGAUCAGCCACACUGGGACUGAGACACGGCCCAGACUCCUACGGGAGGCAGCAGUGGGGAAUUUUGGACAAUGGGCGAAAGCCUGAUCCAGCAAUGCCGCGUGUGUGAAGAAGGCCUUCGGGUUGUAAAGCACUUUUGUCCGGAAAGAAAUGGCUCUGGUUAAUACCUGGGGUCGAUGACGGUACCGGAAGAAUAAGGACCGGCUAACUACGUGCCAGCCGCCGCGGUAACAC
rnacentral:rRNA from 1 species